rnacentral:tRNA from 1 species
GGGCCUGUGGUCUAGUGGCUACACACCAGCCAACACUCUUGGUUGGAGUGCCACAGAUGAUAUCGCCUCGACACGGCGGGGAUCCCCGGUUCGAAUCCGGGCAGGCCCA